AACUGGGGUUGACUACUAAUCUGGAGCCAGACUGGGAGAGGCAGUGGGUUGGAGUCUGGGAAACACCUAACUCUCAAAGUCCUUCUGACUUCAGACAAACACACCCCCCUUUGUGGCAUUGACAUCGGCCCACAACUGUUGCCGUUAGUCUUUAGCACCUUCCUAUGCCUCUAGCUGAUAAUGUCUCCUUAACGUCGAGGCUACAGCGCCAGCAGAACAUCAGAUCAUACACUACAGACCUUUAUAAAGGAUCCCUGUUAGAAGACUCAGAACCCUGUUAGAGGACUCAGGUAUGAAGGAUCCCUGUUAGUGGACUCAGGUAUAAAGGAACCCUGUUAGAGGACUCAGGUAUGAAGGAACCCUGUUAGAGGACUCAGGUAUAAAGGAACCCUGUUAGAGGACUCAGGUAUGAAGGAACCCUGUUAGAGGACUCAGGUAUAAAGGAACCCUGUUAGAGGACUCAGGUAUGAAGGAACCCUGUUAGAGGACUCAGGUAUAAAGGAACCCUGUUAGAGGACUCAGGUAUAAAGGAACCCUGUUAGAGGACUCAGGUAUGAACGGACCCUGUUAGAGGAGUCAGGUAUUAUGGAACCCUGUUAGUGGACUCAGGUAUUAUGGAACCCUGUUAGAGGACUCAGG